rnacentral:other from 1 species
UGAGUCCUGCGAUGUGCGUGUAAACCUGAAUGUUUUGAGCCAACACCUUUAAUACGGGAGCUUGGAGUCAUUUGUCGGAUUGGCUGCCGCUUAUCGCCUAGCGGAACCAUGAAUUCAAGUGCAGAGCACCCACCUGCCGAGAGCAGGUUCAAAACUUUGGGAGUCACGGCAUAACGGGACUCUU